rnacentral:rRNA from 1 species
GACGUAGGGGGCGAGCGUUGUCCGGAAUUACUGGGCGUAAAGAGCACGUAGGCGGGAAUUUAAGUCAGAUGUGAAAGACCGGGGCUCAACUCCGGGGUUGCAUUUGAAACUGGAUUUCUUGAGGGCAGGAGAGGAAAGCAGAAUUCCUGGUGUAGCGGUGAAAUGCGUAGAAAUCAGGAGGAAUACCAGUGGCGAAGGCGGCUUUCUGGACUGACCCUGACGCUGAGGUGCGAAAGCGUGGGUAGCAAACAGG